rnacentral:rRNA from 1 species
GUUGGUGAACCAGCGGAGGGAUCAUUACCGAGUUUACAACUCCCAAACCCCUGUGAACAUACCUUAUGUUGCCUCGGCGGAUCAGCCCGCGCCCCGUAAAAAGGGACGGCCCGCCGCAGGAACCCUAAACUCUGUUUUUAGUGGAACUUCUGAGUAUAAAAAACAAAUAAAUCAAAACUUUCAACAACGGAUCUCUUGGUUCUGGCAUCGAUGAAGAACGCAGCAAAAUGCGAUAAGUAAUGUGAAUUGCAGAAUUCAGUGAAUCAUCGAAUCUUUGAACGCACAUUGCGCCCGCCAGUAUUCUGGCGGGCAUGCCUGUUCGAGCGUCAUUUCAACCCUCAAGCCCAGCUUGGUGUUGGGAGCUGCAGUCCUGCUGCACUCCCCAAAUACAUUGGCGGUCACGUCGAGCUUCCAUAGCGUAGUAAUUUACACAUCGUUACUGGUAAUCGUCGCGGCCACGCCGUUAAACCCCAACUUCUGAAUGUUGACCUCGGAUCAGGUAGGAAUACCCGCUGAACUUAAGCAUAUCAAUAAGC